rnacentral:rRNA from 1 species
GACGAACGCUGGCGGCGUGCUUAACACAUGCAAGUCGAACGGUGAAGCUCUAGCUUGCUGGAGUGGAUCAGUGGCGAACGGGUGAGUAACACGUGAGUAACCUGCCCCUGACUCUGGAAUAAGCGCUGGAAACGGCGGCUAAUACUGGAUACGAGCAGGGUCCGCAUGGGCACUGUCGGGAAAGUUUUUCGGUUGGGGAUGGGCUCGCGGCCUAUCAGCUUGUUGGUGGGGUAAUGGCUCACCAAGGCGACGACGGGUAGCCGGCCUGAGAGGGCGACCGGCCACACUGGGACUGAGACACGGCCCAGACUCCUACGGGAGGCAGCAGUGGGGAAUAUUGCACAAUGGGCGGAAGCCUGAUGCAGCGACGCCGCGUGAGGGAUGACGGCCUUCGGGUUGUAAACCGCUUUCGGCAGGGAAGAAGCGAGAGUGACGGUACCUGCAGAAGAAGCACCGGCUAACUACGUG